rnacentral:sRNA from 1 species
UCACUGCUGAUAUCCGGGAAAUGUUCCCUC